rnacentral:lncRNA from 1 species
UCCUGGUGGGGACGUGCUAGUUUUGGAUACGGCUUGUUUAUCCCUGGCAAAUCUUAUGUUAAAACUUGUGGUGGUGUUGGGAGGGAAAACCUAGUGGGAGAUGCUUAGGUCAUCAUCAAUGGCUUGGUGCAGUUCUUUCAGCAGUAAAUUCUUGCUCUAGUGGGACAGGAUUAGUACUCAUGAGACUGAAUUAGUUCCUGAUACAGUGAGUUGUUAUAAAACCAAGACAACCAUUGUGAAACUGCCUUUGCAAAGAUUAUGACGUGAGAGAAGUCUGGCAUGGCCGCCUCCGUCUUGCCUCUAGCAUCACAGGCUGGCUGUCUCCGCUCAUUCCUGGGCAUGGACGAAGCUAACCAUGAGAAGAAUUUAGUUUACAGUUUAAUUGUGAAGCAAGGAUAAUAAUAGUCGCUUCCUAAAACUGAUCCGCUCCUUGUUUGGAGACUGAAACAGUCUUUGUAAGACAAUGAAAGGUCACAAGAUUAGUAUUCUGAGAGGGGCCUGAAUUCUGCUAAAAUGUUGCUAACUUUGGAGGAAGCCAGCUGCCAUGUCACAAAAAGAUUCAGGAAGCCAUGUGGAGAGGCCCACAUCAUGAGGAACUGAGGUCUUUGCCAAUUACCAGCAAGGAAAUGAGGCCUCCUGCCAACAGCCACAGUGGACCUUGAAGAUUGUCUGAUUGCAACCAGAACCACCCAAGAGGCAGUGAAGGCCCUAGAACUGGAGCAAGCAUGAAGAGAAAACCGAAUUGAUCAAAGCUGUGUCUGCACCUAUGCUGUAUAAUAGACUUCUGUGGGUUAACUUCAAUGAUUUGCAGUUCAUUUUUUAAAUCUAUCUCUAGCUCAUCUUCAUGAUUAAAUUUACCCAAGCAUCCUUUAAGCCAAUGUACUUACAAAACAGAAAAGAAUAUCAUUUACUGGAAACAGAAAAGUAAAGAUAGGAAUGACAACAAUGUCU